rnacentral:tRNA from 1 species
CAGAUUGUAGCUUAUUCUAAAGUUUAUUAUUUACACUAAUAAGAAAAAUUAUUUUUUUAUCUGA